UUAAGUUCAGCGGGUAGUCCUAUCUGAUUUGAGGUCUAAAGCUUAAGAUGAAUAUGCAUUAGAAGCACCGCUACUUGAAACGUACAGUGCGACGUCCUCAGCGAAAUAGGUUAUUACGCCGAGUCAAGCCGUCGCUGUUCCAGCUGGGUUGCUCGUGUAUUUCAGCUGAGCCGGCUCGUGACGAGCCGACAGACAGCCAU
rnacentral:misc_RNA from 1 species